rnacentral:rRNA from 1 species
UACAGCGGUCCCGAGCGUUGUUCGGAUUCACUGGGCGUAAAGGGUGCGUAGGUGGCUUGGAAAGUUUGAUGUGAAAGCUCAGGGCUUAACCCUGAAAUGGCAUUGAAUACUGUCGAGCUGGAGGUUUGGAGGGGGGACUGGAAUUCUUGGUGUAGCAGUGAAAUGCGUAGAGAUCGGGAGGAACAUCUGUGGCGAAGGCGACUGCCUGGACCAGCACUGACACUGAGGCACGAAAGCGUGGGGAGCAAACAGG